ACCAGGCAUGAUGGCUCAUGCCUGUAAUCCCAGCACUUUGGGAGGCUGAGGCAGGAGGAUUGUUUGAGCCCAGGAGUUUGACACAAGCCUGGGCAAUAUAGUGAGAACCUGUCUCUU
rnacentral:SRP_RNA from 1 species